rnacentral:rRNA from 1 species
CACGUAGGGUGCGAGCGUUGUCCGGAAUUAUUGGGCGUAAAGAGCUCGUAGGCGGUGUGUCGCGUCGGCCGUGAAAACCUGCAGCUUAACUGUGGGCGUGCGGUCGAUACGGGCAUCACUGGAGUUCGGGCAGGGGAGACUGGAAUUCCGGGUGUAGUGGUGAAAUGCGUAGAGAUCCGGAGGAACACCAGUGGCGAAGGCGACACGCUGGGCCGUACCUGACACUGAUGCGCGACAGCAGUGGGGAGCAAACGAGAUUAGAAUACCCUUGAUACGUCAGACCCAAGGUCUCCAUGCUU